UACGGCUAAAGCUUGGCCAUUAAGUACCCCCCUCACACCCCGGGCCAUGAAGGAAAGGUAGCAUGGGUUGGUGUGCCACCGAUACAGAUACACGACUAUAGCAUGGCCAUUAAAUGUCCCCCUCACACCCCGGGGCAUGAAGGAAAGGUAGCAUGGGGUGGUGUGCCACACCCAUACGACUACAGCAUGGCCAUUAAGUACCCCCCUCACACCCCGGGCCAUGAAGGAAAGGUAGCAUGGGUUGGUGUGCCACCGAUACAGAUACACGACUAUAGCAUGGCCAUUAAGUACCCCCCUCACACCCCGGGGCAUGAAGGAAAGGUAGCAUGGGGUGGUGUGCCACACCCAUACGACUAAAGCAUGGCCAUUAAGUGCCCCGCUCACACCCCGGGGCAUGAAGGAAAUUAAAGGUAGCAUGGGGUGGUGCGCCACCGAUACAGAUACACGACUACAGCAUGGCCAGUGAGAGCUGGCCUGCCAGGCGUGGGAGUGGAGGCGUAACGAUGACAUGCCACCCUGGCAGCUACAGCUACACAUUCCACCGCGAAUCCAAGCGGAGGUCGUCGUCGGAGAGACGGCAGCGGAUGUCCGGCGAACCCCCUCCGGUAAAUUCCGAGGAUGUCUUCCGGAAACCAGACGUCUGCGGUGAGCUGAGUCAUCGACGGUGCUCCCGAUCGCCAGGAUGCUCCGGGACGUCCGGAGACAGCCGCAAAGAACAGUCCGCGAAUACAAGCCAAAGAUGAUCAAUUGUGAUUUAAUUCGAAUGAGGCCUUUUGAGCAUAAUAUUACAACUACUACUGCAGCCUCUGUACAUUCGCUUACGUGUGUUUUAAGUAGAACGAUGUUCGUAGUACGAACCGAUGACGUGUCAGUAGUUCGUGUGAUGCAUUGUGCGUGAAACUUUAGCGGUCGAGCAUCUAUGCAUUGAGAUAUGCAUAGAACCGUGGGAAGUAGCAUAGCAUCGCCUCUUGGUAGUGUACAUCAGUAGUGCGUUAGAACCAGCUGUUAAAGUCAAAAGGUGGGGGAGAACGUGGGGAAUUAUGCAGGGAGGGCCGAGUCUGAAAAUCCUUUUUCGUGAGCUAUAGGAGUAGCUUCAGAGAGUACCCCCUUGCUUGCCCGGGUGGGACCAGGAUAGCUGCUGUGUAGUCCCUCUCACUUUGAUCUCUGGCUGGUGACAACAUUUUUUGACUUCCAUAUUUUACGCGUAGUUGUCAGCGUUGUGUUAGCGUACGACGAAGUGACGUUUUUUCUCGUGUUCACGGUAAACCAUUAAGGUAAUUAUAUAUAUAUAUAUAUAGAUACAUGGUGUUUCCCCUGACCAAAAAGGUCAGCGAGGUGGUAAAAUUUAUUUUGGUGGUUGUGCUAUCCGAGGAGCGAGCAACGCGAUCACUGAAGGUGGUCGCCACGCUAGGGGCCCGGGGGGGUCCGGAAAAAUUUUAAAAAAAUGGUGCGACUAUUCUGAACACAUUAUAUGAGACUCUUGAAUCACUUUUUCAAGUUGUCAAAAGGAACAAAUAAACUAUGAAUAUGAAAUGAUACAAGUAUUCACAUUAAAUAGUAAUACUGUCGAAAACGAGGCGAAUGCCUGGAGCGUGGCAAAGAUCUUGAAGCUUCCGGUUAUAUUUAUCUUCUGUGUAUCAAUGAUCUUAUGAAUUUGAAGUUCAUACAUUUGAAAAAUACUUAGUUCAACCAAAAAUUUAAAAAAAUAUUAUUAGUUAAUUAAUGCUCUCAUUUGCCACUUUCCUGGUGUAGAAUACAAACGAACACCCAUGCGUAUGUAUGCAUAGGUAUAGUGCCCUUAAUUCGCUGCUGGAGUCAACAAUGGUGCCUGUGGCGCUCAAGUACGUGGCCAAUCAUCUUCCUAACCUGUUUAUAUAUAUGCCUUGCCAAGAUUCGUGUGUUGACAGUAUCGUAAGUACGCGGCGUUGUGGUUUACGUUUGAAGCUUUAUUUCAAUUUUAGUUCAAUAAAGUGUAGUUUAUUGAUGGAAGAACA
rnacentral:lncRNA from 1 species